rnacentral:rRNA from 1 species
AUUUAAAAUCUGGCAGUCUUUUGGCUGUCCGAGUUGUAAUCUAGAGAAGUGCUAUCCGUGCUGGACCAUGUAUAAGUCUCCUGGGAUGGAGCAUCACAGAGGGUGAGAAUCCCGUCUAUGACAUGGACUCCCAGUGCAUUGUGAUGUCUCUCAAAGAGUCGAGUUGUUUGGGAAUGCAGCUCUAAAUGGGUGGUAAAUUCCAUCUAAAGCUAAAUAUUGGCGAGAGACCGAUAGCGAACAAGUACCGUGAGGGAAAGAUGAAAAGAACUUUGGAAAGAGAGUUAAACAGUACGUGAAAUUGUUGAAAGGGAAAUGCUUGAAGUCAGUCACAUUGGCUGGGGAUCAACUCUGCUCUUUUGCUGGGUGUACUUCCUAGUUAAUGGGUCAGCAUCAAUUUUGAUCACUGGAAAAAGGUAGAGGGAAUGUGGCAUCUUAGGAUGUGUUAUAGCCCUCUAUUGUAUACAGUGGUUGGGAUUGAGGAUAUCAGCACGCCGUAAGGCUGGGUCAUUGACCACACUCGUGCUUAGGAUGCUGGCAUAAUGGCUUUAAUCGACCCGUCUUGAAACACGGACCAAGGAGUCUAACAUGCCUGCGAGUGUUUGGGUGGAAAACCCAAGCGCGUAAUGAAAGUGAAAGUUGAGAUCCCUGUCAUGGGGAGCAUCGACGCCCGGACCAGAACUUUUGGGACGGAUCUGCGGUAGAGCAUGUAUGUUGGGACCCGAAAGAUGGUGAACUAUGCGUGAAUAGGGCGAAGCCAGAGGAAACUCUGGUAGAGGCUCGUAGCGAUUCUGACGUGCAAAUCGAUCGUCGAAUUUGGGUAUAGGG